UGGCAUCAAGUGAUCGAUCCCCAUGCCAUCCCGCAUCUAGUUGCCACUUAUUUUCUUCAAAUUUCUCUUCAUUGGGUGGUGGCUCAGGUGGCCGGAUGAGUGUGUGCACGCGUUUGAUGCAGUCUCUACGGUGCGGAUCCUCACCUACCUCGUCGACUCUGGCAACGCGGCCACGAUGAGGGCCAGGUUGAAAGCACCGGAUGCGCUCCUCAACCUCGUCUAGCGGCCCUGGCAGAGGUGCUGAAGGUUGGCGGCGUGGAGGAGAUGGUGAGGGAUCUCACGGAGGAUGGGACACCGGUUCGUGGAUUUGCAGACAUUCACACCACUAUAGUUUAAUAGGUGUCCUUAUCCUGGUUCUUGUCAAGUACUCUUAUCAUAUCUUUGUAAAUAGAUAUAUAGUCUACCUUAGUAUUCUGUUGAUAAGCUACAAAUCCACCCAUUUUCUGGAUAACUUCCUUGUUCUCCAAGGAUUCAUUUCACCUACUAUAUCAUUCAGCCGAGCACUUUUCUUCCUUAUGAUGUCAGUAACAGUGGAUUUUCAUUUUCGCAGUGAACAUCUGACCUUCUCUUUUUGCAAAACAACAACAACAACAACAACAACAUCUGACCUUCGUACUCUUGGUCUUCCAGCCUUGUAUUUUUUUUUACUUUUGCUCCAGCAGAUUUCCUGUUCUUGCAGACAUCUUUUCCCUUUCUUUCUGUAGUACUUGCCGCAUUUCAUUCUUCCUCUCGAGUCAUUUGAUAGUACAAUAGAUCUCAGUCUCCUCUUUUUGUCACUUUGUAGUUCACAUGAUGAUAACAGUUGGUCGCGGCACCCAUCUUUGUUUACUGUAUCCCCAUUGCUAUCAUGUGGUUCCUCUUUCGCAGGCACCAGUUCACAUGACAUUUUGGAACGUGAAACUCUAUUAUUCUGUGACUGUAAAAUAAAUAUACAUUUGAAAAAUUAGACAUGCUUCUAAAAAUCUGGAAGUGUGUAUGUGGAAAAAAUCAAUCACCCUUUUAACUGCAUGUUCAGUUUCUUUGAUUUAUGUUUUAGUAAGGCGUCCCCUUCAUCAUUCAUCAAAUCAUGUGUAACAUAUGUGCUGAAUCGGUUUGGAACUUAUAUACAUGGUACCUAAUUUUAAUUUUUGGAAAAAUGAAUAAAAGCACCUUUACCUCCUCAACUUCAUUGUAUACGUACAACAUCUCAAGUCUAUCACUGGGCACAAAUGUUAUCUGUACAUAAUUAUGGUAUUAUCUUUGGCGCUUCAGAUUUCCCAUCCAAUGACUUAGCAAGUUAGAGACAGAUGUAUAAUGGUCAGAAAAAAUAAUUAGUUUGAAGUCUUAAUUACAACUAUAAAUGUACCCGAGCGUUGGAGUAUAGUUGAAAGUCUCAAUUAAAAUUAUAAACAUACAUGGGCACUGUAUAUCUUCCUUGGCCCGUUCUUGUAUUAGGUAAGGUUCUUCGUAGAUAGCUUGAAGUAAUAACAGGCAAUAUUUCCGGAGAUCUUUGACCUCCUUUACCUUUGUAUAUGUGCAAAACUAUUUUAAUUUCGUUGCUUAGAGGACAAUAUUUGGUGGAUUCCACAACCGUAAAAUUGCUCCUCGGCCCGUUCUUGUAUCAAGUCGGGUUCUUGGUAGAUAGCUCGAAGUAAUAACAUGCCAUUUUUCCGGAGAUCUUGGACCUCCUUUACCUUUGUAUUAUGUGCAAAACUAUUUUAAUUUCAUUGCUUAGAGGGUGAUAUUUUGUGGAUUCCACAACCGUAAAAUUACUAAAUGCAUAAGUAGAUUGCUCAUCGAUUUUUAAUCUGAAAGUGUCUAUGAGACUUAGUAAUUGUUUUUGAAAAUGCUAGAAUAAUUUCUAGUUUAAAAUAUAAAGAAUAUACAUGUUCAUCCAUUAAGAUCAUAUCUGGGUUAAUAAGCUCAUCAAUUGUAGGAUUUAACAUGUAUCUUUAUUACUUUUACUUGAAUGUUCCCGUUUUGUCCCUGUUAAAUCGCUCAGUUUUUUGUGUGGCACAAUGUUUUGCCUACAAAUAACACAAAAUUAUUUUUUCAAUUCAUGAAGUACCUGUGAAGACUGUAAAAGAUAAGUGAAUUUAGUAAAUAAUAAUUGCCAAACUUUAUGAUUCAGGUGAGAAGACACUGGGUAUGGCUUCGUCCAACUUCAAGUUACAUGUUAUGUGAAGCAGUUGGAUGUGGUAGUCGUGGAGUGUUAGUUCUUGCUGACUUCAAUAUUUUUCGGUGUCGAGUUGAGCAUCAAGUCGCCCGUUGCUUCCUAUUAUCAGCUGACUUUGUUUUUCUUUGUGGUGUCACGACUCAGGCAUCGAUUCGCUCAUUGUGUCUACCACUGGCUCACUUUGGCAUAUUCUUGAACAUGUGCUAUAUGUGGCCGGCUAAUAAUUGUCGAACUUGAUGAUUCAGGUGAGAAGGCAGUGGGCGUCAUCCGACUUUGAGUUUUCGUGCCACAUGAAGCAGUUGGAUGUGGUAGUUGUGGAGUGGCGGUUCUUGCUGACUUCGAUAUUUGUCGGUGUCGAGUUGAGCGGCGAGUCUCCCAUUGCAUCGUCGUACCAUAUUCGUUUUUCUUUGUGGUGUCAAGAUUCAGGCAUCGAUUUCGUCCCACUGGCUCCAUUCAAUUUCUUGUUUUUGGCUGAUUUCUUGGGCGUGUGGUUUAUGUGGACGACCAGUCUUGUUUAUAUUGGUUGAUGUGGCUGACACCGUGUGGAGUCCUGAUCUUAUAUUUGUCUUGCAUGCAUCUGUCCGGUUUUGGAUUGUCAGCACGUGAGUUGUACUUACGUAUCCAUUAUAUGUUUGGGAUCCUUAUUUGUUGACCCAUCCUUGGGAAAGAAAGUUAUUAUGGAUCUGUUCGUGGUUGUCUCGGACAUAUUUGAUUUUAAAAUA
rnacentral:lncRNA from 1 species